rnacentral:pre_miRNA from 7 species
AUGCCAGCAAGAUUUUGCUGAAAGUGAAAGACCCCCGAAGGGAGACCCUCACUCAAGCACUCAAGCCCCGGGACAGCCGCGGACCCAAGAAGACACUGAGACCG